CCUACGGGUGGCUGCAGUGGGGAAUUUUGGACAAUGGGCGCAAGCCUGAUCCAGCCAUGCCGCGUGCGGGAAGAAGGCCUUCGGGUUGUAAACCGCUUUUGUCAGGGAAGAAACGGCUCGGGCUAAUACCUCGGGCUAAUGACGGUACCUGAAGAAUAAGCACCGGCUAACUACGUGCCAGCAGCCGCGGUAAUACGUAGGGUGCAAGUGUUAAUCGAGAUUACUGGGGGUAAAGCGUAAGACAGCGGUGAAAUCCCCGGGCUCAACCUGGGAACUGCAUUUGUGACUGCAUGACUUGAGUACGGUAGAGGGGGAUGGAAUUCCGCGUGUAGCAGUGAAAUGCGUAGAUAUGCGGAGGAACACCGAUGGCGAAGGCAAUCCCCUGGACCUGUACUGACGCUCAUGCACGAAAGCGUGGGGAGCAAACAGGAUUAGAUACCCCGGUAGUC
rnacentral:rRNA from 1 species